CCUACGGGGGGCAGCAGUGGGGAAUAUUGGACAAUGGGCGAAAGUCUGAUCCAGCCAUGCCGCGUGUGUGAAGAAGGCCUUCGGGUUGUAAAGCACUUUCAGUGGGGAAGAAAGCCUUGGGGCUAAUACCCUCGAGGAAGGACAUCACCCACAGAAGAAGCACCGGCUAACUCCGUGCCAGCAGCCGCGGUAAUACGGAGGGUGCGAGCGUUAAUCGGAAUUACUGGGCGUAAAGCGCGCGUAGGCGGUCUGAUAAGCCGGUUGUGAAAGCCCCGGGCUCAACCUGGGAACGGCAUCCGGAACUGUCAGGCUAGAGUGCAGGAGAGGAAGGUAGAAUUCCCGGUGUAGCGGUGAAAUGCGUAGAGAUCGGGAGGAAUACCAGUGGCGAAGGCGGCCUUCUGGACUGACACUGACGCUGAGGUGCGAAAGCGUGGGUAGCAAACAGGAUUAGAUACCCGGGUAGUC
rnacentral:rRNA from 1 species